rnacentral:tRNA from 1 species
AAUUAAUGAUCUUGAUAUAAGAAUAUAUUUUGAAAAUAUAUUAAAGAAACUAUCUUAACUUUCUAUUAAUUU